UCCUAUGGCCACACUGCUCGGGGUAUCCGUUCUCAGAAACAAGCAGGGCUGGGCCUGGUCAGUACUUGGAUGGGAACCUGCCUGGGAAAACUGGUGCUUUAUGUU
rnacentral:rRNA from 1 species